rnacentral:lncRNA from 1 species
UAGCUUACGGAAUAACAACCAAGACCAGCAGCUCAACAGCAAACCAGAAACCCCCAAAACCACCAGAAAAUCCAUCAACACCAAGCUCCUUCCCUUCCACUUUCUCCCUUUUAUGUGAUUUUCAUUUGUUUAGCAGCGAUUCCGGCAGCAACAAUGACAACUCCGGCGAAUAAUAGUUCAAAUCAGCCUCCAGCGAGCUCCAAAGGCGAACAACAGAGCCAAACAACUCAACUCCGGUGAAAUUUGGUCUUUGAUGGUUUUGGUAAUAAUUUUUUACUCUUUUUGUUUUCUUUAUUUUUUAAUGCAUGUAUAGUUGAAUGGAUUGAUUUUAGCACUUUUGGUGAACUUUAUGUUUUUCCAGUUAAUUCCUUUUUCAAAUUUUCACGCUUUUUACUUCGUUUUACUCGUUGAUUAUUAGUGAAUUAUCAUGUGUUUAGGGUUAUAUUUGUUCAAUUUUUAGUUAUAAUAUUAAUAUUUGUGUUAUGUAGUCUUUUUCAUAUAAAAAAAUACUUUGAUUGCUCCAUUUUGGGAUUGUUUUAAGAUUUUGUGUUAACUCACAUUUUUGCAUUAUGCACGAUUUGUUGUUUUGUUUGUUCAUUAAACAAUUUGGGUCGACUUUAUUAUAUACUUCUUUUAUAUUUAUUUUGCAUCAAAUUUUCAUAUUUUUGGCAUCAUCAGAAAUAUGUCUUCUUAUUGCUUGCUCACUAGUAUAACAAAUUAUUGCUAUUUUAUUGUUGUUGUUUAUAAGUUAAGUUAUAUUAUUAUUUAAUGUUGCAUUUUUUAUUUCUUUGUUAUUUCACUAUGUUAUUUUCUGCCAGCUUUUGUAGUCGAUUCACUUAGUUGGUGGUAUUAUUUAUUCUUAAAUAUUAUCUAAUUUGAAAACAAAUAAUAAGUUUUAUAAGAUAUAUGAUAAAAUGGCCAAUAAAAACUCUGCGUCGGUUUUGGAGGUCUUCCCAAAUUAAAAGAGGGAAAUUUAAUUUAAAUAUAUAUACUUUAUUUAUUAAAAUUGGUAAUAAAAAAAUCUGUCCGUCAAUUUUGGAGGCCUCCCGUGUUAAUACGAUGGAUUUUUAUUUUUAAGUUAUUAUUAUUAAUUUUUAUUUAUAUUUAUUUAGUGCUAACUCUUUUACUAAGUGUCUUUACAGGUACACGAAACUGCUUUUCAAUAAUGUUAUUCGAAUUAAAUUCGAAAUAUAUUCAUUAUGUAUUAUUUUGUAUCUAUUGACGUUAGACAAACUUUAGGUCGAUUUUUACAUUAUUAGUUAAUAAUUUGUGUAUAUUGUAUGCUGAUUGUAUUUGUAUAUUUGUUUGAUAUUCUCCUCAAUUUGAAAAAAUGAAUUCAGUCUGGACCCACAUUUGUGAUUUUCGAAUGGUGCCUAAUACCUGUUGGGUUAUGGGCCUUUUACCCUUCCUAUGUGGAUAAAUAAAAGCCCAAUUUGGACCAACCCAUUUUUUGCUCAUAGGCCCAUUCUUAUGAGGCAAAUAUAAGCCUAUUGAUGUCUUAUUUUCAAAUACACAGAGAGUUUUUUCAGCAGCCAAAAUGAGAAAAAGAGAGCAGUUUUCGCAGUCAAAAUUCAGCCCUAACAGCCAACUUCAAAUUGCGAUUCCUGCUUCGUUUCUUCUCUGAUUGAGCUGAUUUUUGGACAGCAUAUUAUCUUCAUCUCAAUCUUUGAUUAGGAACUGACAGCUUCAGUUUUUCUGUCAUGAACAGUAGCUGCGAAAUUGGUGAUUUUGCUCCUUUAAUUCUCUAGAUUUGGUGCAAUCUUAUUUUGUUGUUGCUCAUUGUUUGGCACUUGUUUUGUGGCCAAUUUUGGAGAAAAAUAUUGUAACUCUUGGUGAUUAUAGUGGAGCUUUUGGUCCAGUGGUUUUUUACUCUUCACAUCGAAGGUUUUUCCACGUAAAUCUUGGUGUCUUGUGUGAUUGGUUUAUUAUAGUCUUGUUAUAUUUGUUUGAUUGAAUUACUUGCUGCCUUACUAUCAUAUUGCUUGUGGUUGUUUGUCUUCUCUUGGUUCAAAUCGAAAAGGGAAAGUAUAGACUUGGGUAUUCUUCCGCUGUUAUCCUGUCAGGCAUUCUUUGUUAGUGCCUUGUCUUUCCCAACAAUACCUUCCCUUCGGAAUAACCUUAACUCUUAUCUUGAAUCUAAUCGUUUCAUAUAUCACUUAAUAAUUUCCUAGUUUUUUCCUAUAAUUAAGUGGUGAAUCCUUUAAAAUUUAUUUAUUCUUAGAACUCUUUUUAAAUUAAAUGAAUUAAUUAUUUUUGUGUCACCAUGACGUUUCUCCCUAUUUGAAUAGAGUAGGGAUGUAAACAGUGAAGAAGGGUAUUUUUGUGGGAAAAGGAUUGUAAGACCCUGAAAAUGAAUUAAGGUGCUUAGAACCUCACAUGUGUCUGAAAAGGUUUAAAUUAUGUUCGUUAAGUUUUUUAUAGUAUGUAUACUUGAUUUGAAGUCAUUUGGAGGUCAAGCGUCCAAGAAUGUCCACGACAUUCAAAAGUUGGUCUUUAGACGUGCUAGUGUAUCCUUGUAUGGUGGCCUUGUUUGUACGUUUUGUUUGAAGCCCAAAAACAGUAGGGAUGAUCCUAGACUUUUAAUAGACAUGUUAAGGAUCAAAACAUCCGGCUACGACUCCCAGAGGACCACCCCUAAGGGCCCCCAAGGAGGACCCAAACAUUGGACAAGGAGGCUGCUCAAUGAAGCAUGCAGCAGCAAGAUUGGGGACCAGCCUCGCAUCGCGCGCCUGUAACUUUGUGUACAUGUCUUAAAGUCCCAAUAAAUAUGGGGGUAUUUUGGUAACAUAGGGAGAUGGUUAAACUGUUUUUAUGACUUAUUUAACCCCUUUCCCAAGCCAAAACCCAAAACCCAUUAAGAAAAUCAAAAUCCUAAAUCUCUCUUCUCUUCCAAAUUCUCUCAAACCUCCAUUGGAGGGAAAACUCAAGGUUCAAGCUAGGGGCUGAUUUUCAUGCUUUAUUCUUCAAUUUUUUGUGGGCUUCUCAUGUAGAAAGGUAUGUUAAUCCUUCAUCCUUUUUUAUCCAUUCAUCUAAGGAGUUCUUGCAAAGAUAAUUCAUGAUAAAAAUUGCAAUCUUUCAAUCUAUCCAUGGGUUCUUUGUCAAAUUGAUUUCAAAAGGAUUCUAAUGAUGAAUUUAUGAUUUUAAGAUGAAUUUUAUCUAAUUCCAUGAAGAACCCAUGAUCUCCCCAAUUUCUCAAAUUGGCCUAUAAUGUUGGUCUUGUGAUCUUUACUCUAUGUUGAUUGAAUUAUGUUUCAAUUAUGUUGAAUUACCUAUAUGUUAUUUAUGUGAAUUGAAUAUAAAUUGAUUAUGGGUGAUCAAUGAUGAUGAAGGUUUAGGGAUUGGGUAAAUUGAUCUAUGUUCCUCUACUUUCUAUAGACUUAAAGAAAUAGUUUACCUAAUGUGAUGUUGAAACCAUGAUGUUUGAAGUAUGAUUUCGUUUAUGUAAUGAUACCUUUAGCAACUGUUAUAUACAUGUAUAGACUUUAAAUUAUGGGAAUUUAUCAAUGAUAAUCAAACUUGGAGGUAUUGUAAGUUGGCCUUAUUCUCUCUACUUUUCUAUAAAUUUGCUAGAUGCUUGACCUUAUAUGACAUUGUGUGGUAUGAUCCACUUAUGGUGGAGGUGUUUACUUCCUUGUCAUUCUAUAUGUGAUGUGAUCAUGUCCUUGGGGUAAAUUGUAUCUUAAAAGUGUGCUUAUGAUGAUCACACAAUGUGAAGUGUUAUGCCUAGUCUACAAUGCUACUUCAUGAUUUAGGUUAUACUGAUGAUUCCUCCUAUAUGUUAAUGAAGAUGUUAGGGUUAUGGGUCUCUACGUUUGAUAUGGUUGAGGUCUAUUGAUGAUUGGUUACUCUUGUAUAGCAUGAACCCUACCUAUGAACCUCUACACGAAUGCGUGGUCUUAAGCAUGAUUAGGAGUCUUAAAUUAAAGUAACAAAGAUAUCUUGUCUCCUAUGUUGUAAUGUGUUUGGUGUGUGGUCUAUAGUCCCUAUUACUCUAUAUGUGAGUUGUCUAUGGUUUAUGUAACUUGAAUGUACAUUGUGGUCUAAGAGGGUGGCUGCGUCAAUGUGAUGUUGAUAGCCAUUGUAUGAUCAUGUUGACCAAUGUACACACACUUACACCUCAUGCAUGUUUACAAGUAGUAUAGGUUGAUGUUGUCUAAUCAAAGGGUAUUCUCAUAUGCACUUGUGUCUAUUACUAUGCAUGUAUAGUGUAUGUCUAUGAAUCAUGAUAUGUAUACCUUAACUAGGAUGACUUGACAGGCGUACUAGUAUGGACAAGGGUAUGGGACCUUGUCUAUGCAUUGCAAAUGUGUGCCUUGAUAGGAUAGUCCUAGGUUGUGAUAUAUGUACAUGAAUAUGAAAGCAUGAAUAAGUUAUGAAUAUGUCUUAUGCAUAAAUGAAAUGAAGUAUGAAUAUGUGUGGUCUAAGGGUGUUUAUGUGAAAGGUUUGCACAUAUAUAUGUAUACACACACAUUAAACAUGUUCAUUAUGCAUGUAUGAUGAUCUAGUCAAUAGAGGGGCUCUCCAAAGGUGUUUUAAAGGGUAUCCUAAACUAGAUGGUGCUUGAAUAUGCUAUGUCCAUGGGAAAGAUUUUCUCGCAUGAAUUAAGUUUAUGAACUCUCAUCUAUGACCUAUGAGUUAAGCAUCUGGCGAGUCAAUCUCCUAAAGAAUACUUUAUUAAAGUAAUAAUAAUAAUAACAAUGCUUUUUUAAUAAAGGAGAGUGAGCUUAAAUAUGAGCGGUGUCCCUUUCCAAUGUAGGAAAGUAGGUUCACCAUAGUCCUCAUGAGGUGGUUAGCCUCAUAUCCCAAAGGGCAUAGAGUGAUAUUUCCAUAUAUGCCUCCAAGUUUCAUAAACUAUGCUUGCCCCAUAGUAUCUAACAAGUGAUAUCACCUAAUAUGCUAGCAUGAUGUUUGUGUUCUACUUUGGCAAGAUAGAUCACCUUCCUUUGGUGUAAGGUUCUAUAACACCAAAUUCCAUGUUUAGCAUCCAUGGUCUAAGUGUCAGUUAAUUCUAUAGUUUCCCUUAAGUAAAAUGGACAAUGGAAGUAAGUAAGGACUCUAACUAGGAUAACCUAAGGGAAGUUACUUAGUGUAGGUGAGGGUAUGUGACUUUACCUAUGCAUUGCAUCAUUAGCUCUUGAGGGGAGUUCUAAGAAGGCGUUCUAUAUGUAUAUAUACAUACAUAUAUGUACAUACAUACACACAUAUAUAUACACAUACAUAUAUACGCACACACACAUACAUACAUACAUACAUAUAUAUAUAUAUACAGAGAGAGAGAAAGAUAUGUCUCUUGUGCAUGACAUUAUGGUAUUAACCUAUUUGUUAUGGUAAUAUGCAUAGUGUGAGUCCUAUGGUAUCUAUUUGAAGUGGUCUCACUCUAUGUACAUGAUGUUGGUCUUAGUGACUAUAUGAAGAAGGUGUUGCUUGGCAUGUAUGUUGUUGACUAUUAUUUUCUAUAUGAAGUAAAUGAUGCUUGUGGCCUCUUUAUAAGUCUACUUAGUAUAUGUGAGGUUAUGGUUCUUCACAUGUACAUUGCACUAGUACGCUUAGAUUGGAAUUAUGACUUUCUCAAAUACAAACAUUUUUGUAGAGUCAAUGCGUCAUUUUCAGAAGGAUCUUUCCAUAACAUUCAAUUUGUUAUAUAAUUAUCCAUAACCAUAGUCUCAUUUGUCCAAGGGAAAUAUGACCCAAAUGCUUGUUUUACAACACAAACAUAACCGAUCACUUUUGACUAAUGUUCAUGUUUAUACAAAAAAAAUUAUUUGAAUAGACAUAUUUUUCAUGAAAAAUCACCAUAUUUUUGGUGAUACUUUUUCAUCAAAGAUUACAAUUCUUUUGAACGAGUAAUUUAAUUUUAUGGUUUUAUGUUAGUCUUAUCAUAUACUAGUAAAGAGAGAUUCAACGACCACAAUAUCAAAUAUACUCCAAGAAUUUUGUGGGUCUAAUAUAAUGCAAGAAUGUCAUUAAAUUUCAUAUCUUGUACUUUGAAAUUUAAAUUAGAUAGUAAGUCUAUAUCACAAGUAAAGAACUCCCCCCCCCCCCCCCCCACACAUUUUAAACAUUUUCUCAAAAAUAUUUUUCAAGUAUUUGAAAUUAGUUUCUACAUAUUCUUUUUCUCCAUACUUUCAAAUUGUUAUGCCAUCAAAAUACAUUGACAACAAGAAACCUUUUUUGGAGAUUUAAUCCAUAUAAACACCCAGUGCAGGCACAAAAUCAUUAUUUCUAUGUCACAGUGUUUUUUCUCCUUUUUAUCACAACUAAACUUACCACUUAGUAUUUGAAAAUACUAAAAAUAAAGGGUCAAUCUAUAGGCAACUUGUUUCUAGUAUAACGAUGAAGUUUUAUAGUCUUCUACUCGUUAACCGAAUGAACCUUAAAUUAUGAUGAAAAUUUUAUAUUCUUCAAAUCAGUUUCACAUUCAAACAGAGUAGCAAACCAAAAAGGUUUUAUAACAAUGAAGUUUUUAUAUUCUUCUACUCGUUAACUGAAUGGACCUUAAAUUCUGAUGAAGUUUUUAUAUUCUUCAAAUCAGUUUCACAUUUAGACAGAGUAGCAAACAAAAAAGGUUUGAAUCUCCAUAAACCUCAAACACAACAUUGUUUCAAGCUAAUGAAGAAGAUUUUAUGUGUUUUGAAUCAUUUAGCCUAAAUAUUCCUGAAUAACAUUUUGCACUCUUCAAGUCAGAGUAUUCAUUUAAAUAGAAUAAUUAACAAACUAGUAAAGUUUCUAUAUUCUUCGAAUCAAUGCACAAUUUGAUUUGUUCAUGGAGUUCUUGUAUUCUUAAAACCAAAGCAUUAAAAAAUAAAAAAAAAUUAGUCUCCAAAAGUAAAACAAUCAAAUUUUACAUUGAGUACAAAACUACAAAGUUUGUUUCUUCCUCUUAACAGAAUACAUAUGAAUAAUAAUAAACAUAUAUCCAGAGAUCUUCAUAUAGUGACAAUCUAUCCUAACAUUUAUGAAAUAAAUUUCAUAACUUAUAAAGGAUUAAUAAAAUAAUAAUAAGGGAAAUAAAAAUAGAAUCAUAUUUUUCCUCUCAUUGAAUCAUAUCUAUUUAUCAGUAAUGAUUCCAUGCAAGUCACUUUUCUUUAUAAUUAUUCCUUUCUUUUCAGUUUUCAUCAUAUUCCAAUUUUCCUUAGAAGACAUUGGAUUUCAACGAGAAACUAAACUCAUGUUUAAAUAUUGUUAGGAUACAACUUUUGUUCAUUUACUUCUUCUCAUAGUUAUAUAAAAUCAAGAAUAUAGGAAAAAUAAUUGAAGUGUUCAUCUUAACCUUAUGCACAAAAUAACUUUCUCAUUGAAAAGAAAACUAAAGAGAUGCAAUGCUUGAAUGUACUUGAGAAGAAAAUACAAAUAAUCUUACCCAUCCAAGGAAAACUUACUAUAGAAAAAAUACUCAAACAUAUUAAAAUAGUAAUAAUUUAUCCCAAGAUUCUUUUAUCAUAUUAUAAAGUAAUUUUACUUUUUAUUUUUUCCAACAAAAAGAACUAAGAAAAUUUAAGUAGUUUCCUUACCAUUGAAAUACUACCAUUAUAGAAAUUUCUUAAACUUGUUAUCUUAUGUUCAGAUUAGCAAACAAGAAAAGAUAAAAGAUGAAAAGAAAAAACAAAGAAAUAUUUGAGUCCAGAGAACCCACUGAACAAGAAAAGAUAAAAGAUGAAAAGAAAAACCAAAAGAAUUGUUUUAGUCCACAUAACCCACUGUGUCUCCUUAAGAAAUUUAAUCCCCUCAAGUUCACGUGAUUGUAGAAUAAUUCCUCCCGAGAUAAAAUGAUUUAACCACUAAAGAAGUAGAGGUACCUGAACUCAAAAAGACAACAACGAAUCACACAUCGACACGAUCGAUCGAUUUUGCUUUGAAAGAAAUGUAUACAUAAGAAGGGACGAAUUUGAUGCAGAAAAAUGAAGGAAGUCUCUCUAUUUAUAGCCUACAAAAGGUAAAGGUCAAAACUCUUUGGAAAAAAGACAACCUUUCAUAAAAGUCACAACACUUUGAAAAAGGCACAACCUUUUAAACGAUCACAACCCUUUAGAAAAGACACAACCAUUCAUAAAGGUCACAACCCUUCGGCAUAGUCACAACCUUUUUGAAGAGUCACACCACUUCAUUUCCUAUUCACUAGUGAUAAAAUCAAGCAUCUUGACCUUUUUAUAAUACUAGAUUCUGAGAACGUUUGUCCCUUAUUAUUAUUAUUAAUUUUUAUAUACUAAAAGAUAAGUAAUUAAAAAGAUGCUUAAAUUAACAAUAGUAGUUUAACCAUUUAUCUUUUAUUCGCUAAAUAAUAACAAAUAUAAUAUGAAGAACAUUAAAUAGAUGAUAUAUCUAGUUAUUUUUUUGUUAUCCUUCUCUCAUUCUCUUUUCUUCUCAUUUUAAAUAGUGUAAUUUACUUCCUAUGAUAAUAUCAAUCUUAGUAAUUGGUUCUUAAAAAGCAUAUUAAUAUUUAAUUCUCAAAGUGUUUUUACAUAAAUAGUGGAGAAUGACUCUUCACAUUGAGCUUUUAAUUUUAAAAAAUUAUGUGUUUGAGAAAUAAUUAACAUUCAAUAAUUAGGCAGAAGAAUAUCACAUUAUCAUAAAUAAAAUAAUAUCUCUAAGUCAAAAGUAGACAUUCUAGUUUGGAAAAUAAUUACUACUAACUAUUUAUGGGUCCAGCUCCAAUCAAUAAUCUAUAUAUGGGAGUUUGACAAUUUUCCAGUUAUAGUUAAAAUUUUACAUCAACAAUAAAUAACUUAUUAUCACAGUAGAUAGACGUUUGAUGCAUAAAAUUUAUAAAUGCUAAAAGAUUUCGUCAAUGUAGUACAUAUGCAAACUUAUGAUAAAAACACUUGGUAUAUUACGAAACACACUUGAAGCCAUUACCAUGAUUAAUAUGUCAAUUAUUUUUAUCAUUAUAUCACAUAUACGUCUUCUUUUUAACCUUAAAAAGUCUGUACACAUGAUUUAUGAAGAGAAAAGAAUAAUACUCUUUUUUUCAUAACAUUACUCUUUGAAUAAUUAAUAUAAAUUGAGCAAUAUAAACUUUUCAAAAUGACUUAUGCUAGAUAUAUGAUCAAUUUGAGGAAUGAAUGUUCCAACAAACAUAUAAUAGACUAAUAAGAUCAAUAAAUUAUACAUAUAAAUAAAAAGUUUAAAUAAAAAUACAACCUCAAAGUCACAUAUAUACUAUAUAGAGUAUGAUCCACUCUUUAUCUCCAAUUAGGUGGGCCAUUUUAUUUUAGUUCAUAUAUAUAUAUAUAUAUAUAUAUAUAUAUGAUUUCUCAUUUAGUCAUUAUUGUCAUUACUCGUAAAUAAUAAUUUCAAAAACGUAUUUUAUACUAAAGUAGAACACUCUAUCGAGAGCCAAAUAAGCAUGUCAAAUGAACUAAUUAAUCUUUCAUAAAUAUGAAUUUCAUCAGUAAUUAAGAUACAUAGUAGAACAUGAAUUGUAUAUUACUAUUUUCAAAAUAUUCUAAUAAAACAAACAAAAUCAUAAGAAAGUACAUCAACAUAUAUAAAAAGAAAAUAUAUAAUACUUAGGACGGACAAAAAGGAGAGGAUAAAAAUAAAAAAUAAUUACUGCACAUACAAAAUGAUUUGCAAAGUUCAUUUUUGCAUGAUAAUCUCUCAUCCUCUUCUUGUCAUUUACAUGAAGAUCAUGCUAGAUAAUUUAUAGAAGUAACUAUGAUGA